ensembl:lncRNA LINC00313 long intergenic non-protein coding RNA 313
CCCGUCGGGAGACACGUUUUGUCAGUUGCUUCCUCUGGAGUCCUUUUAAAAGACUACUUUUUAGAGCAGUUUUCAUUUUACCGAUACAUCGAUCAGAGAGUACGGAGCUUCCCACAUUGCCUCCCGCACCCCAUAGCAGGCAGAGGCACCAGCCAGGCGCCAUCCUUUACAAGCUGUUUCAGCAAAAUGUCCCUGGGUCUUAAUGAUUAAGUCCAGGCACUCCAAGGACGAUUAAAUAUUUAAACAGCAGCUUCCCUUUGAAGGGAAGGAAAUGACCGCAGAAGGGAGUGCACCGUGGGGGCAGGAGGUGCUGCGGCCAAUGGGCAGUGCUGGGAGAUGAAACCAACAGCGGCGAUUGCCCCAGAAAGAACUUGGCGCUGCUAAGGCAAUGGCGGCCCGAAAGAGGCCCCUGA